rfam:Felis catus isolate Cinnamon breed Abyssinian chromosome X, whole genome shotgun sequence.
GCCUGGGUGGCUCAGUUGGUUAAGCAGCUGACUUCAGCUCGGGUCAUGAUCUCACGGUUUGUGGGUUCAAGCCCCGCAUCAGGCU